UUCCCGAGUUUUAUUUUUUUUUUAAACUCUUUUUACCACCUCUUUUCUAUUACUAUAAUAACUAUUUGCUAUUAUUAAUCCAAAGCUAUGACAUAAUUUAGUAUGACUUGUUGGGCAAGUAAAAAUACAAUCGGGCAGAUAAUAAUACUGAAAUGGAGGGCCAGAAUGUCACACAAAAAGCACUUGCCAAUAAUGCAGUGGAAUUUUAAAACUGAUAAUUAUAGAUAUUAAAAUAAAUGAAAAGAACCUUCUUCAAGAAGAGAGAUAAAACAACACCUGACUUGUCUCCUCCACAAACCUCAACAAUUUAGAGUGUGAACAGAAAAUACAACAUAACAUAAAACCUAAAACAACAUUGGAGUAAUUGCAAAACCGGAUGGAUAGUCAAAUAUUUGCAGUGCCACAACAAAGUAACAGUCCAAUGACUGAAACCGGUGCAAGAGUGUACAUCAAUGCUUUAACACCCACUGUUCCAUGCUUCAUAAGAUGGAUGGAUGGAUGGAUGGAUGGAAUUUUACUGAGGAAGAUUUUCUAUGGCUGGAUGCCCUUCUUGUCAUCAACUCUCACCUGUUUCCAACUAAGGCCAAAUAUAUUUCACAGAAGACUGGAAAUGAACAAACUCACUUAUAUGACAAUGUUGCUCAUUUACAACUGUCUAGACAAGGGCACAUAAAAAAUACAUACAUACAUACGAUGGGUUUCUUUCAGUUUCCAUCAAUCAAAUCCUCUCACAAGGCUUUGGUCAGUCUGAGGUUAUAGUAGAAGACACUUGCCCAAGGUGCAGUGCAGUGGAACUGAAUCCAAGACCACAUAGUUGGGAAGUAAGCUCACACUGUCAUGCCUGCAAUUAUGCAUUCAUAUAACAUUAAUUCGAACAAUGUUUCUGAAUGUACCUGAGUAUGAGUUCAAGGACAGAAACAUGAAAAACUCAUUAAGACAGAAAAAGAAAAAAUCUUGAAUGUCAAAGAAAUUUUACACACGUCAAAUCUUAGCAAACUAAGGUAAGCUGAUAUCUCAAGAAAUUAUAAUAAUAUAUAAUGGUUAAGAGGAAUGGAAACAUCUUAAAAGUUAUAUCUACAGUUAAAAUGAUUUCUUUACAUACAUUGAAAAAUCACAGUACACAGUUUUCCAAUUGCUAUAUUGACAAAAACUGUUCAUUAGUAUUAAAAGGAAGAGACGCAGAUAGUGUUUGUUUUUUUUUGUAUCUGUAAUAGAUAUAUGGAAAGAAGAGGUGAGAUCAGAUAAGAGGAUGCAAGGCCUCACAGGUGAGACGACACAGUUAAACAACUGACAAUAUAUGCUGUACAGAAAACCUGUCUGACUGAUGCCAUCAAGGAAAGAUUAAUAAAUAAAAAUGCUAAAA